UUAAGUGGUAAAGAGGUAUAUAUAAACCCUUACAAAAUCCUUGCUUCCGUACAACUCAGCAAGCGUAAAAUUUGCUGAUAAUGCACAACCCCACAACCAUCCACAACCAUCCCUCAAUCGCCGAAAUGCCGGAUCCUUCGCCCGUCGCAAUUCGCAUCGACGGUUCCGAACAAGACGCCGCCUUAUCGAAAUCGGAAUUCCUGACCCAACAAGAAGUCUUCGAGCGGCGCAAACGGAGACUGAAACAGCUGGAGAGGAUUUAUCGUCACCAGUAUUGGCUAUUGUUUGAGGAGCUGAAAUUGAAGUACAGGGAGUACUAUUGGCAGUAUGGGAAAAGCCCCUUCGUUGAGGAGAAUGAGGAGAAUCAGAGGAUCAAUUCGGAUAACGAUUCCACUGGUAGGUGUGGCGUCAACGGUUGUAAGGCAAAGGCGAUGGUUCUAACGGACUUUUGUCAUAUGCAUAUACUCUCUGAUACCAAACAGACCCUAUACAAACCUUGCAAUUUCAACAUUAAGAGGUAUGUGGAAGUUUCUUUCCUGAAAAGAACACUCAUCUAAUAGCAGUAUCAGUUCGACUACAGGACCGAUACUCUGUGGAAAACCAAUACUUAGAUCAACGGUCCCUUCUUUUUGCCCUCCCCAUAUCCAAAAGGCUGAAAGGCAUUUGGUACGCACUCUCAAGAAGUCAGGCCUCAACAUCACCUCGACGAGUAAGCUCGCUCCCAAGGUCCACGUGAUCAUGAUGGAGUACAUCCGGAUAAUCCAACAGAAGAGGAAAGCUACAAAGAGAAAACUGGAGAAUGCAGAGAUCAAGGUGGAGAACAACCCUUGAUGCAUCAUUCAUGCAGAAUAAGAAUACUCAAUUGUAGAAAUUCUUUUAUUUCUUGACCAGGUUGAUGAAUCUGCCAAUUCUAGCUCUAGAUUUGAAGUUAGUGAAUAGUUUGAUUGUGCGAAUUAUUAAGUCAAUCUUGGUAUGUGGCUUGAUAUGUAUGGCUUGUUAUUAAGUUUCAAAUCUAGUCCACUGUAGAGGAAAGCUUGCCUUGUUCAAUGAAGCAAUUAAGAGAGAAUACAUUCUUUUGCCAUAAAGUGCAUUUCUUUCCCUCUCCUA